rnacentral:rRNA from 1 species
AGUUCGAUCUGGCCAGAUUGAACGCUGGCGGAUAAGCUUUACGCAUGCAAGUCGAACGGCGGCACGGACUUCGGUCUGGUGGCAGUGGCGAACGAAGGUGAGUAAUGUCGGAACGUGCCUAGUAGCGGGGGAUAACUACGCAGCGUAGCUAAUACCACAUACGCCCUUCGAAGAGGAAAGCAGGGGACCUUCGGGCCUCGCACUAGAAGCGGCCGAUAUCGGAUUAGCUAGUUGGUGGGGUGAACGGCUCUGCAAGGCGACGAUCCGUAGCUGUGGUUUUGAGAGGACGACCAACCACACUGGGCUGAGACACGGCCCAGACUCCUGCGGGAGGGCGGCGGUGGGAAUUUUUUGGACAAUGGAAACCCUGAUCCAGCCAUCCCGCGUGUGCGAUGAAGGCCUUCGGGUUGUAAAGCACUUUUGGCAGGGAAAGAAACGGCACGGGAUAAUACCCCGUGCAACUGACGAACCUGCAGAAUAAGCACCGGCUAACUACGUGCCAGCAGCCGCGGUAAUACAGGGUGCAAGCGUUAAUCGGAAUUACUGGGCGUAAAGCGUGCGCAGGCGGUUCGGAAAAGAAAGAUGUGAAAUCCCAGAGCUGCUGGAACUGCAUUUUUAACUACCGAGCUAGAGUGUGUCAGAGGGAGGUGGAAUUCCGCGAUGUAGCAGUGAAAUGCGUAGAUAUGCGGAGGAACACCGAUGGCGAGCCUCCUGGGACUUACCUGACGCUCAUGCACGAAAGCGUGGGGGAGCAAACAGGAUUAGAUGCCUGGUAGUCCACGCCCUAAACGAUGUCAGCUAGCUGUUGUUGGGGCCUUCAGACGCGAAGUACAGCGCAAUAACAACGUGGAUUGACCGCCUGGGAGAUUACGGUCGCAAGAUUAAAACUCAAAGGAAUUGACGGGGACCCGCACAAGCGGUGGAUGAUGUGGAUUAAUUCGAUGCAACGCGAAAAACCUUACCUACCCUUGACAUGUCUGGAAUCCCGAAGAUUUGGGAGUGCUCGCAAAGAAGAACCGGAACACAGGUGCUGCACUGCGCUGGUAAAAGCUCGUGUCGUGAGAUGUUGGGUUAAGUCCUGUGACGCAACCCUUCAAUCUUAGUUGCUACGAAAGGGCACUCUAAUGAGACUGCCGGUAUGAAGCCGGAGGGAAGGUGGAUGACGUCAAGUCCUCAUGGCCCUUAUGGGUAGGGCUACGUCUACAAUGGUCGGGACAGAGGGUCGCCAACCAACCCGCGAGGGAACCAAUCCCAGAAACCCGAUCAUAGUCCGGAUCGCAGUCUGCAACUCGACGCUGCGUGAAGUCAGAAUCGCUAGUAAUCGCGGAUCAGCAUGUCGCGGUGAAUACGUUCCCGGGUCUUGUACACACCGCCCGUCACCAUGGGGAGUGGGUUUUACCAGAAGUAGUUAGCCUAACCAUGGAGGGCGAUUACCACAGUAGGAUUCCAUGACUGGGGUGAAGUCGUAACAAGGUAA